rnacentral:rRNA from 1 species
AUUGAACGCUGGCGGCAGGCCCAACACAUGCAAGUCGGACGGUAGCACAGAGGAGCUUGCUCCUUGGGUGACGAGUGGCGGACGGGUGAGUAAUGUCUGGGGAUCUGCCCGAUAGAGGGGGAUAACCACUGGAAACGGUGGCUAAUACCGCAUAACGUCGCAAGACCAAAGAGGGGGACCUUCGGGCCUCUCACUAUCGGAUGAACCCAGAUGGGAUUAGCUAGUAGGCGGGGUAAUGGCCCACCUAGGCGACGAGCCCUAGCUGGUCUGAGAGGAUGACCAGCCACACUGGAACUGAGACACGGUCCAGGCUCCUACGGGAGGCAGCAGUGGGGAAUAUUGCACAAUGGGCGCAAGCCUGAUGCAGCCAUGCCGCGUGUAUGAAGAAGGCCUUCGGGUUGUAAAGUACUUUCAGCGGGGAGGAAGGCGAUGCGGUUAAUAACCGCGUCGAUUGACGUUACCCGCAGAAGAAGCACCGGCUAACUCCGUGCCAGCAGCCGCAGUAA